rnacentral:lncRNA from 1 species
UUUUUUUUUUUUUUUUUUCUUUCUUCUCUCUAGGAGUUGGGUGUGGGGCGGAGGAUAGAUCCACUGUGGAAUUGGCCCCUCUGAUCCGAUAUGGCUGGCGGUGGUGGUGCCCUGUGGUGGCAAGAGGGCUGGUGGAUUCAACCUGAUGGUGGUUAUGACUCAAUUCUGAGUAAUAAUCUCUUGAAGGGUAGCGAUUUCACGGAUGUUGCUGAUACCAUGGAGGUGAUGACAGAAAAUGUCGACGACGAGGUUCCCGUUCUAACAAAGGUAUGGGUGUCCGUGGCUAGUGGUCUGCCUAGGAUGGUGAUGGCGCAAAGUUGGCUGGGAAAUUGGGUUUAUGUUGCUAGAGGCAAUGACUUCAGUCUGGGUUUGGUUUAUGCCGAAUUCAAGGACGAGCAUGAUGACGGUGUGGUGGCUGGAGGUAGUUCCUACUACACCUCUCCUAGGUUGGGCUUUAAGCCUAAAAUUCUAGGGUUUCAGAAUGGGCCUUGGACAUAGAGCUUCAAUUUUUGGGCAUCUUCUGCCCUCUUAGAUCCAGGAGAUGCUUCUUCUGAUUAGAUUUUUAAACUAAAGAUAAUUUUGUCAUUCAUAUAUUCAUCACAUGCCACAAUAGGUCAUUACAUAUCAUGCCGUUGCCAUUGAAAGCAGUCAAGAAGUUAAGUGGGAAUACCCACUAAUGAUUAGGGGUGGACAUAAAAAACCGUAAUCUCGAACCUGUCCUGGGCCUGUCCCGAAAUUUGCCGGGACGGGACGGGAUUUAAAUCUUAAAAUGUUAGGCCCGUCCUGUUUAUAUAUAACGGGACAGGACACGGGACGGAUAAUUCAAGUCCCGUUUAGGCCCGUCCCGUCCCGUCUUAUCCCGACUAUUUUAAUGAUUGAUUUUUUAUUAAUUAAGAUGUGAUUUAAGCAUUUCAUUUAAAUGUUUUGAUCUUAGCUCUUUGUUUCUUUAAGUUACUAGGUUGUUAUCAAUUCAAUAACAGUGAUGUUUAAUACUUUAAUUUGUUGAUUGUUGUAGACUCUCUUAUUGCACCAUAGUAGUAAUGACAAGUUUGGAGAAAGUAAGUAGUAUAAACUCUCUUAUUACAUCAUGUUGUACCUGUAAAUAUGUUACACGUACUUGUUAAUACAUAAUAGAGUAAAGAGCACUAUAAAACUAUAAAACUAUAAAACUCUUUCUUUUGCUUACACGUUUAUUUUCAACUUUUUUUAUCUGGGAUUAGACCCGGCCCGUCCCGUCGCAUCUCGUCCCAACCGGGAUAGGGCCCGGGUGGGAUGAAAUCUAAAAAACGCAAAGCCCGUCCCGUCCCGAUUUCAAUGACCAGGACGGGCCGUGAGAUUAGCUUUAUCCCGUCUCAUCUAGCCUUAUGCCCAGCCCUACUAAUGAUACAUAGAAAUAGACUUAUUGUAAAAUCAGAUACAUAGAGAUAACAGAUAUUCUUCUUCGGUACUACUCCAAAGACGCUAGAGAUACUCAAAACUACCAUAGAAAAUAGACAUACACGCCGAGAGGCGCAUGAGGCACACAAUGUGCUUAGGAUCCUAAUGAAAGGAACUUAUUGUAAUAGAAAAACUAGAAAAAUAAAAAUAGCAGCCCAAAACCCAAAAAAGAACUAAACCUAAUCUCAAACAGUUGACCUAGCCCAGCCUUUCUUCCUAGUUGCAGGUAAGACAUGAAAGAAAAGCCGAAUACCGUCACCGUUGUGAAAACAGCGCCGCUGAGUCCCGCAACCACUAACACGGGAAGAAAAAAACUCCAUCUUUUCCACGAACACAGGGUCCACACAACACCUCCUCCAAACCAAAAUUUCUCCCUUAAAAAACAAGGAUGGAGAUUUUACGCCGUCACCGCCAUUCGGGAAGAUGGAAUCAUAUCUAUUCCUCAAGCCAGUUUUCAUGGUGAUAUACCUCCAACCCGAUCUGAAAAACCACACUGGUUAAAAGUUGUUUAGAACCUCUAGCCAAUUACCUCUCAAAACAAUGAGUUGCCGACGUAUCCUUUAUCAGUCAGCAAAGUCAUACAACAUCUGUGCAAUCAAAAGACUUGCCUAGCCUUAGACUGCCGCCGAAUGAGGAUGGGAUUUUGUGGUUGGUUGCCGACUUAGAGAGAGAGAGAGAGAGAGAGAGAGAGAGAGNNNNNNNNNNNNNNNNNNNNUUUUUUUUAAGAAGGUUUAGGGUUAUGUUUCAUCUUGUUGUAUUUCAUUAUCUAAAAUUAAAAGAAUAUGUCGAUUUUCCUCAAUCCUCAAUUUUUUUUUUUUUUUUAAGAAGGGCCGGUGCCUUGAUUAAUGAAACCAUAGAAUACAAGAGGGGGACAUAGAGCCUAAACCCCAAAUUACAAAGAGUAACAUAUUCUAACAUGUACCAGUUAGCAAAGAGUGCAUCAUUGACAACUCGAUAUGUUUUAACUAAACGGAAAGAUAACUGUACUAAGGACAAGCAUCAUGACGAUUAAUAGUGCAACUUUCCUAUUAUGUUGCCGCACGGAAUCAUAUCCGGCGACCCUAUCUUUCAUCCUGUCAUUAGGAGGUUGAGACCGUUUGACAAAGCAAGAACUCGCAACUCACCUAGGACAAACAAGGCACGCAAGGUGCCAAUACCGGGACAACGCCCACAUCUCCUUAUUGAAAACAAUAAAUAACUAGAAGCUAGUAAAAUAAAAAAACAUAAAGCUAGUAAUAUAAUUGCCCUAAGUGGGCUAAUUUCCUUAACCCUGGCCCAAUGGACCAACCCUAGCAACAACCCAGUCCUCUUUCCAGCCCAAAUCCGAAGUUGCUCUGCCUUGUCUCCCCACCACCGGUGUCAGGCCUCCAACGCCUCGCCGUCCGGCCAUCGACCAAGCAUCUCAGUCCCUCCACCACCUACUAGCACACCGAGAUUAUGCAAAUGGAUUCGGAGCCAACCCAACCCGCCAUUGAUCUGAAGCAGCCGUCCCGUUGAUCCAACUGGCCAUCUUGCUCGCCGAUAGCCGCCUGAUGCCGCUCCAAUCCUACACAAUCUCGAUUCCUCCUCUCUGAUCCUAGCCCGCCUCAAUAAGUCAACCACAAUUUGAAACCAAGAAAGGGAGAUCAGGUUACCUUUCAGUCCGAUCCGCCGAACCAGAGGCAUCAAUCCAACACCGAGCAC